GCAGUCGAGCGGACCGAUGGGAGCUUGCUCCUUUAGGUUAGCGGCGGACGGGUAAGUAACACGUGGGCAACCUGCCCUGCAGACUGGGAUAACUUCGGGAAACCGGAGCUAAUACCGGAUAACACCGAAAACCGCAUGGUUUUCGGUUGAAAGGCGGCUUUUAGCUGUCACUGCAGGAUGGGCCCGCGGCGCAUUAGCUAGUUGGUGAGGUAACGGCUCACCAAGGCGACGAUGCGUAGCCGACCUGAGAGGGUGACCGGCCACACUGGGACUGAGACACGGCCCAGACUCCUACGGGAGGCAGCAGUAGGGAAUCUUGCGCAAUGGGCGAAAGCCUGAUCCAGCCAUGCCGCGUGUGUGAAGAAGGUCUUCGGAUUGUAAAGCACUUUAAGUUGGGAGGAAGGGCAGUAAAUUAAUACUUUGCUGUUUUGACGUUACCGACAGAAUAAGCACCGGCUAACUCUGUGCCAGCAGCCGCGGUAAU
rnacentral:rRNA from 1 species